AUUUCAUAAAGAGUUAUUUAGUUGAACUUCUCUAAGUAAAUGGAAGAGAAUACAAAGUAAAUACUGAAUCUUUCCCAGGUACGUCAUAGCGUCUUCAGCGUAUUCGUGCAUGUGGCGUGGGCUUCCGAUAUAAGAUGAUGGGAGAAUUGUCAGACGUCCAAUAUUUUGAA